AGAGUUUGAUCAUGGCUCAGAUUGAACGUUGGCGACAGGCUUAACACAUGCAAGUCGAACGAGAAAGUACCUUCGGGUAUGAGUACAGUGGCGGACGGGUGAGUAACGCGUAGGAAUCUACCUAGUAGCGGGGGAUAACUUGGGGAAACUCAAGCUAAUACCGCAUACGCUCUACGGAGGAAAGGGGCCCUCUCCUUGGAAGGUCUCACUAUUAGAGGAGCCUGCGUUGGAUUAGCUAGUUGGUGGGGUAAAGGCCCACCAAGGCGACGAUCUAUAGCUGGUCUGAGAGGACGAUCAGCCACACCGGAACUGAGACACGGUCCGGACUCCUACGGGAGGCAGCAGUGGGGAAUCUUGGGCAAUGGGCGAAAGCCUGACCCAGCCAUGCCGCGUGUGUGAAGAAGGCCUUAGGGUUGUAAAGCACUUUCAGCAGCGAAGAAAUACGACAGGCUAAUACCCUGUUGUUUUGACGUUAACUGCAGAAGAAGCACCGGCUAACUCCGUGCCAGCAGCCGCGGUAAUACGGAGGGUGUAACGUUAAUCGGAAUUACUGGGCGUAAAGCGCGCGUAGGCGGAUAGGUAAGUGGGAUGUGAAAGCCCUGGGCUCAACCUGGGAACUGCAUUCCAAACUGCCUACCUAGAGUUUGGUAGAGGGAGGUGGAAUUUCCUGUGUAGCGGUGAAAUGCGUAGAUAUAGGAAGGAACACCAGUGGCGAAGGCGGCCUCCUGGACCAAAACUGACGCUGAGGUGCGAAGGCGUGGGGAGCAAACAGGAUUAGAUACCCUGGUAGUCCACGCCGUAAACGAUGAGAACUAGCCGUUGGGCCCCUUGAGGGUUUAGUGGCGAAGCUAACGCGAUAAGUUCUCCGCCUGGGGAGUACGGCCGCAAGGUUAAAACUCAAAUGAAUUGACGGGGGCCCGCACAAGCGGUGGAGCAUGUUGUUUAAUUCGAUGCAACGCGAAGAACCUUACCACCCCUUGACAUCCUGCGAACUUUCUAGAGAUAGAUUGGUGCCUUCGGGAACGCAGUGACAGGUGCUGCAUGGCUGUCGUCAGCUCGUGUCGUGAGAUGUUGGGUUAAGUCCCGUAACGAGCGCAACCCUUGUCCUUAUUUGCCAGCGAGUAAUGUCGGGAACUCUAAGGAGACUGCCGGUGACAAACCGGAGGAAGGUGGGGAUGACGUCAAGUCAUCAUGGCCCUCACGGGGUGGGCUACAAACGUGCUACAAUGGUCGGUACAAAGGGCUGCAAACCAGCGAUGGUAAGCUAAUCCCAAGAAACCGAUCGUAGUCCGGAUAGGAGUCUGCAACUCGACUCCUUGAAGUCGGAAUCGCUAGUAAUCGCGGAUCAGAAUGCCGCGGUGAAUACGUUCCCGGGCCUUGUACACACCGCCCGUCACGUCAUGGGAGUGGAUUGCACCAGAAGUAGCUAGUCUAACCUUCGGGAGGACGGUUACCACGGUGUGGUUCAUGACUGGGACGAAGUCGAAACAAGGUA
rnacentral:rRNA from 1 species